rnacentral:tRNA from 2 species
GUUAGGAUGGCCGAGCGUUCAAAAGCGCUGCGUUCAGGUCGCAGUCUCCUCUGGAGGUGUGGGUUCGAAUCCCACUUCUGACA